AAGAAGAAGAAAAAAAUAUCAAUUCAAUACUCGGUCGCGCAUCACAACAAGUUCAGCAGAACCUACUAAAGCAAGCCAACACGAUCGCGGCAUUACCACGGGCGAUGGCGAGGCUAAGGCGUUGGAACAGCCAAGCACUCUCACGAGCAUCACCUGACACCUCUGUGAGAAGGCAAGCCGCUAAUGAUGACAUGAACUUCGCUGUCAGCGGCCCAAGCCCCUCCAAACGUCUCAAACGUCACAGACUGGAAAAAAAUAGUUCUCGGACAAGUCCGAUGCUUAAGGAUUUUGUUCCGUUCGUCUUCGGAAGCAAUGAUCCUCCCAUUUACCGCAGUAUCUAGGAUGUGGGGAGGAGUCACUGACUAUGGCGUCGCAGAUGAGGUACCUAAUUCUUACCCAGGGAUAAAGGGUAAGACCAUCUGGUCUCUUCCCAUCAUUUCCGGAUAAUCCUGCGGGAUUCAGAACAGAAAAGAUAUUAACCCGAGCCAGGGCCCGCUGAAUGGUUAGGUUUAGCUCGGUGUGAUGAGCGAAACGAGCAGCAGUUUAGGCCACAAGACAAACCAUGAAGGCCUGUGAAGUCAAUGGGCUUAUCGCAGCGACAUCUCAGUAUUCCAUAGACAUCGGUUUCCACUUUUGAGUGCAAUGGAGAUGCGGAGCUUAUCCAGACUGAGUAGACCGCCAAUGUUGACCACAGGCCGGGCAUCAAUCCAGUCCCUUGAAAAUAUCGCACUUGCAAGGUUACCUUUUGCGGUGUUAGAGAAACUAUUUGUCAUCGACAAAACUUUAACUUCCUCAACGUUUUCCGUCGAAAUUUUAGCUUCUUCAACAUUUUCCGCAAAUACUUUUUAGCCUAAUAUUAUGCUGCUUUUUAAAUUUUCUCAUGGUC